rnacentral:RNase_P_RNA from 1 species
GGCAGAGGAAGCCCGGUUCCCGUGAGCGGGGCGGCGUCGCCGCCCUGCCCAUGAGGAAAGUCCCCCCACCCUCCGGGCAGGUGACCGGGCGCAAGCCCGGGGCGGGAGACCGCCGGCGCUGGAACAGAAACGGGACCACCCGCCCCGACCGAUGAGACGCGUUCGGCCGUCAAAACGGCCGGCGGCGUUCGCGGGGUCACCCCGCGAACGCGCGAACCGACCCGCAAGGGAAGGGAGUUAACCCGUCGAGGGCUGGGCGGUCGUCAUCGACGACCGCCACGCGAGCGGCGUCAGCCGCGAGCCGACGGGCGGGAACGGAUGGAACGGCGAACCCUCACCGGUGCAAGCCCGUCGCCACUGGUAGCCCGGAGACGCGGCGGGCGCUCAGCCGAAUGCCGGGCCGAACAGAAGGGGGCUUACUCUCCUCAGCC